AAUAUAAAAUACAAUAAUUUUUGGUUGGAAUACAAUAUCAAAAGGCUUGAGAUAUUGAUAUAUAGAAAGACAGUUUGUGAGGCUCCAAAAGAUAAAUAUCUACCGCCGGUCACACAAUCAAUUUUCUUGCAAGCACGCAGAGAUACAGUCCAUAACGUGCACGCAUGAAUGAAUUGAGAUUGAGGGGAGAGAUAUAAGUGCCAUCAACGCCACUGCUUCUAUCUAUAAUGUCAGUGAAACAUCUGCAUUCUCCAUCGUUAAAGUGCGAAUGUCUAACGAUGAAAACAAGCAUGGAUAGAUGGAUCCUCCUGGAAUUGCAAGCCUGCUUCAAAGUUCACCUUAUGUGGAGACAUUGGUUAUAGACAUCAUAUCCUCCAAUCGCAUAGGGUUUAGAGUUUCUAGUUAGAAGUUAUAAUGCUGUGAACCAUUGGAAAUCAGAGGAGAUCUAUUUCAAGUCUUUGCUACAACGCCUCAAGACUGUCAAGAUCUUUGGUUUUGGAGAAAUUUUCCACCCAAAUGAUGUAUUCAUUUUAGCAGUACAAUUUCUACUUAAGAAUGCAAAGGUACUGGAGAAGAUGGUUAUCACUAAACCACAAGUUAUGCAAAAUCAAAUGCGUAAUAUGUUACAUGAAUUUCUACAAGUGGCGCAAAAGUUAUUAAGCUUCCCUAGAUCCUUUCCUCAUGCAGUGGUUAUGCUUCCAUAUUUGUAAAAUCAUUUUAAGUUGUUUGAUAAUCUUAAAUGAUCAAAUUCUCCUAAAUACAUUGUUGUUCUGUAGA